CCCCUUGUGUCUUACCAAGGACUGAGUUCCCACUUGUGGCGGAAAAAAAAGUAUACCAUCCCACCCGGCCUAACCCGGGGGGUUAAGGUUCCUCUCGGAGACUGCCAGACUACAAGAAGCUGGCAGAGCUUUAGCCAUUGGACCACAUCCAUCCAUCCUCCUACCUAA
rnacentral:rRNA from 1 species